GCCAGUGUGGUGCAGUGGUUUGAGUAUUGGACUACAGCUCUGGAGACCAGGGUUCGAGUCCCCACUUGGCCA
rnacentral:tRNA from 1 species